rnacentral:rRNA from 1 species
UCCUGACCUCGGAUCAGACGUGAAUACCCGCUGAACUUAAGCAUAUCACUAAGCGGAGGAAAAGAAACUAACAAGGAUUCCCUUAGUAACGGCGAGUGAACAGGGAUUAGCCCAGCACCGAAGCCUGCGGCCAUUUGGCUGCUAGGCAAUGUGGUGUUCAGGUCGUUCCGCAGAGACACAGCCCCACUCUAAGUCCAGCACUGAGUACGGUAAUAAUGACUUGGCCCAAAGAGGGUGAAAGGCCCGUGAGGGUGGGGAUUCAGGCAUGACUGUGUCUUUCUGGAUAGACCUUGGAGUCGGGUUGUUUGUGAAUGCAGCCCAAAGCGGGUGGUAAACUCCAUCCAAGGCUAAAUACAAGCACGAGUCCGAUAGCGAACAAGUACCGUGAGGGAAAGUUGAAAAGUACUUUGAAGAGAGAGUAAACAGUGCGUGAAACCGCUCAGAGGUAAACGGGUGGAGUUGAACUGCAAGCCCAGAGGAUUCAGCUGGUGAGUGUGGUUUGAGCUUGGUCAAGUUGGUUGUACACUGGUGUCUGUGUAGCAGCAGGUCUCUACCCUCGGGUGGGGAUGCGCGAGGCACUCAACAAGUGUUGCGCGCUCCAGAUGUAUUCGGGCCUACUUGCCAGUGCACUUUCUCUGGGUAUUCACCAUGACCGGCACUGCUGUCUGGCUGUUGUGGUUAAACCGGUCUUGCAUCGUCCUUGUGGCUUUGCUUGGUCGGGAUGGCAGGUAGCCCGUUGGCUAGUCUGGGGUAACCUGGGCAAUUGGUCUUCGGGUGUAAUCAGCUGACUAUGAUGGUUCUGUGCAGUGUGUCGGAGACGGCGGCUUGUGGUGUGUGCAUGCGUGCAUUGUCUCCUGGCGGGUUUGGGUUUGGUUGCUAUGUUGCUUGUUCUGCAAGCCUGGCGAUGGCCUGUUCCUGUCCAGCGAGCUGUAGCGUGUGUGACACUAUUAUCAGGGCCUACAGUCUAUGGUGUCGUGGUAGACUUUCCACCCGACCCGUCUUGAAACACGGACCAAGGAGAGUAACAUGUGUGCGAGUCAUUGGGCGUAACGAAACCCACAGGCGCAGUGAAAGUAAAGGUCUGGCUUGUCCGGACUGAGGUGAGAUCCUGUCGUGCCAAACGCGCGGUACCACCAAGCAUUGAGCGGCAGGCGCAUCACCGGCCCGUCCCAUGGCGUAGUCAUUGUUUACAGUGCACCGUCGGGGCGGAGCAUGAGCACACAUGUUGAGACCCGAAAGAUGGUGAACUAUGCUUGCGCAGGUUGAAGCCAGAGGAAACUCUGGUGGAGGACCGUAGCGAUUCUGACGUGCAAAUCGAUCGUCAAACGUGAGUAUAGGGGCGAAAGACUAAUCGAACCAUCUAGUAGCUGGUUCCCUCCGAAGUUUCCCUCAGGAUAGCUGA